CUACGGGUUGCACCAGUGGGGAAUAUUGCACAAUGGGCGCAAGCCUGAUGCAGCCAAGCUGCGUGUAUGAAGAAGGCCUUCGGGUUGUAAAGUACUUUCAACGGGGAGGAAGGGAGUAAAGUUAAUACCUUUGCUCAUCGACGUUACCCGCAGAAGAAGCACCGGCUAACUCCGUGCCAGCAGCCGCGGUAAUACGGAGUGUGCAAGCGUUAAUCGGAAUUACUGGGCGUAAAGCGCACGCAGGCGGUUUGUUAAGUCAGAUGUGAAAUCCCCGGGCUCAACCUGGGAACUGCAUCUGAUACUGGCAAGCUUGAGUCUCGUAGAGGGGAGUAGAAUUCCAGGUGUAGCGGUGAAAUGCGUAGAGAUCUGGAGGAAUACCGGUGGCGAAGGCGGCCCCCUGGACGAAGACUGACGCUCAGGUGCGAAAGCGUGGGGAGCAAACAGGAUUAGAUACCCGAGUAGUC
rnacentral:rRNA from 1 species